GAAGAGCACGCGCUAUAAAUGGCACACUUAAAUUAAAUGUCAACUUCUGACCGAUAAAUAAUAGUUUAUGUGAUUUUUCAAAAUUUUUAACAAUAACUUUUGACUUAAAUGAGCAAACACGCGUGGGAAAACCGUCUUCCGGUCUGUUCCGCUAAGACUUCUGGGUGGUUCAACAUUAUGAGCGUGCCGUCAUUUUCAGGUUGGGUCGUGUCGUUACCAAACCAGCCAGAGGACCCGGCGUCUUCUGGUUCAUCCCCUGGCUGGACAUCACCCACAAAGUAGACCUGAGGAUCAUGUCAUUCUCUCUGUGUUUCUUCCCCUCCGUGUUGAUUGGUCUCGUGUCCCCCUUGUCGGCAGCGAACCUUUGUUCCCGCGUGACGAGCUGUGUGUUUCGUCUCCCUGUGUUCCCCUCUUGUUCUCAGGCUGCCCCACUUGGAUCUCGACCUCCCGCCUGGACACGGACUUUGACGCCUCCCUCCUCCCCUCGACCUCACGUCUGUCUCACGGAUCUCCGAGCUCGUGUUGCCCCCCCUUGGACUUCCGCACCUCUCGCUCAACACUCCCGGUAACACACUCCAGUUAAUUCACACACACACAUUUUGGAUUAGUACACACACUUCAUCUAUUAUUUAUAUAUAUAUAAUGUAUAUAUAUAAAUAAAUAGAGCUUAUACGACGUUCCUCCUGUCUGUGCCGUCUCCUUCCAGUU